rnacentral:rRNA from 1 species
GACGAACGCUGGCGGCGUGCUUAACACAUGCAAGUCGAACGGAAAGGCCCUGCUUUUGUGGGGUGCUCGAGUGGCGAACGGGUGAGUAACACGAGAGUAACCUGACCUUGACUUUGGGGUAACUUCAGGAAAAUGGGGCUAAUACCGGAUAGGAGCUCCGGCUGCAGGGGGGGGGUUGGAAUGUUUCGGAGGUUGGGGAUGGACGCGCGGCUUAUCAGCUUGUUGGUGGGGUAGUGGCUUACCAAGGCUUUGACGGGUAGCCGGCCUGAGAGGGUGACCGGCCACAUUGGGACUGACAUACGGCCCAGACCCCUACGGGCGGCAGCAGUGGGGAAUGUUGCUCAAUGGGCGGAAGCCUGAUGCAGCAACCCCGCGUGCGGGAUGACGGCCUUCGGGUUGGAAACCGCUUUCGCCUUUGACGAAGCGUGAGUGACUGUAAUGGGUAAAGAAGCACCGGCUAACUACGUG